CCUACGGGUGGCAGCAGUGAGGAAUAUUGGUCAAUGGGCGCGAGCCUGAACCAGCCAAGUCGCGUGAGGGAGGACGGCCCUACGGGUUGUAAACCUCUUUUGCCGGGGAGCAAAGGGCGGCACGUGUGGCGCCACUGAGAGUACCCGGAGAACAAGCAUCGGCUAACCCCGUGCCAGCAGCCGCGUUAAUACGGAGUAUCAGACGGUUAGCCGGAUUUAUUGGGUUUAAAGGGGGCGUAGAUGGGUUGUUAAGUCAGUUGUGAAAGUUUGCGGCGCAACCGUACAAUUGCAAUUGGUACUGGCAGCCGUGAGUACAGUUGAGGUAGGCGGAAUUCGUGGUGUAGCGGUGAAAUGCGUAGAUAUCACGAAGAACUCCGAUUGCGAAGGCAGCUUACUAAACUGCCACUGACAUUGAUGCUCGAAAGUGUGGGUAUCAAACAGGAUUAGAUACCCUGGUAGUC
rnacentral:rRNA from 1 species